AUACUUACUUGGCGUAGAGGAGACUGCGAUCAAGAAGGCAGUUCCUCCGGGGCGAAGUUCUUCCAUUGCACUACGGUUGAAUUGACCCCCGCGAGUAUCCCUAAUGUGGAUACAUCGUGCGCGUAAUUUUUGAUAGUCGGGACUGCGUUCGCGCGGCCCCGUG